rnacentral:rRNA from 1 species
UGGGGAAUAUUGCACAAUGGAGGAAACUCUGAUGCAGCAACGCCGCGUGGAGGAUGACACAUUUCGGUGCGUAAACUCCUUUUAUAUAAGAAGAUAAUGACGGUAUUAUAUGAAUAAGCACCGGCUAACUCCGUGCCAGCAGCCGCGGUAAUACGGGGGGUGCAAGCGUUACUCGGAAUCACUGGGCGUAAAGAGCAUGUAGGCGGAUAGAUAAGUUGGAAGUGAAAUCCUAUGGCUUAACCAUAGAACUGCUUCCAAAACUGUCUAUCUAGAAUAUGGGAGAGGUAGAUGGAAUUUCUGGUGUAGGGGUAAAAUCCGUAGAGAUCAGAAGGAAUACCGAUUGCGAAGGCGAUCUACUGGAACAUUAUUGACGCUCAGAUGCGAAAGCGUGGGGAGCAAACA